rnacentral:rRNA from 1 species
CACUUACAGAUGGGCCCGCGGCGCAUUAGCUAGUUGGUGAGGUAACGGCUCACCAAGGCAACGAUGCGUAGCCGACCUGAGAGGGUGAUCGGCCACACUGGGACUGAGACACGGCCCAGACUCCUACGGGAGGCAGCAGUAGGGAAUCUUCCGCAAUGGACGAAAGUCUGACGGAGCAACGCCGCGUGAGCGAUGAAGGCCUUCGGGUCGUAAAGCUCUGUUGUUAGGGAAGAACAAGUAUCGGAGUAACUGCCGGUACCUUGACGGUACCUAACCAGAAAGCCACGGCUAACUACGUGCCAGCAGCCGCGGUAAUACGUAGGUGGCAAGCGUUGUCCGGAAUUAUUGGGCGUAAAGCGCGCGCAGGUGGUUCCUUAAGUCUGAUGUGAAAGCCCACGGCUCAACCGUGGAGGGUCAUUGGAAACUGGGGAACUUGAGUGCAGAAGAGGAAAGUGGAAUUCCACGUGUAGCGGUGAAAUGCGUAGAGAUGUGGAGGAACACCAGUGGCGAAGGCGACUUUCUGGUCUGUAACUGACACUGAGCGCGAAAGCGUGGGGAGCGAACAGGAUUAGAUACCCUGGUAGUCCACGCCGUAACGAUGAGUGCUAAGUGUUAGAGGGUUUCCGCCCUUUAGUGCUGCAGCAAACGCAUUAGCACUCCGCCUGGGGAGUACGCCGCAAGGCUGAACUCAAAGGAAUUG